rnacentral:rRNA from 1 species
AACGAACGCUGGCGGCAUGCCUAACACAUGCAAGUCGAACGAGACCUUCGGGUCUAGUUGCGCACGGGUGCGUAACGCGUGGGAACCUGCCCUUAGGUUCGGAAUAACUCCCCGAAAGGGGUGCUAAUACCGGAUAAUGUCUUCGGACCAAAGAUUUAUGGCCUUUGGAUGGGCCCGCGUUGGAUUAGCUAGUUGGUAGGGUAAAAGCCUACCAAGGCGACGAUCCAUAGCUGGUCUGAGAGGAUGAUCAGCCACACUGGGACUGAGACACGGCCCAGAAUCCUACGGAAGGCAGCAGUGGGGAGUAUUGGACAAUGGGCGAAAGCCUGAUCCAGCAAUGCCGCGUGAGUGAUGAAGGCCUUAGGGUUGUAAAGCUCUUUUACCCGGGAUGAUAAUGACAGUACCGGGAGAAUAAGCUCCGGCUAACUCCGUG